UAAUUCAUAGGUUAAUUGAGGAGCAACUUCAGGCUGGUCAUAUAGAACCAACAUUUAGUCCUUGGAACACACCUAUUUUUGUUAUUAAGAAAAAGUCAAUUAAAAAAAAAGCAAAAGUCAGGAAAUUGGAGAUUGCUACAGGAUUUAAGGGUGAUAAAUCAUGCAAUUAGGCCUAUGGGAUCAUUACAGCCAGGACUUCCCUCCCCCACAGCCAUCACUUUAGACUAUAGCUUGAUGGUAAUAGAUUUAAAAGACUGUUUUUUCUCUAUAAGGUUACAUCCUGGAGAUUGUGAAAGAUUUGCUUUCAC
rnacentral:sRNA from 1 species